rnacentral:lncRNA from 1 species
AUGGUCCUCAAGAAGCCUCUUGCCUCCUGUCCUCUGUUGGGAAGACCUUCCCUUCUUCUCCAGUCCAGGAGCCUCCGACUCAUUCUCCUGCCUCAGCACCCCUCAGCUUCCUCAGAGCACACCCUACACUGGAUGGGACCUGCUGGGCACUGCAGCCGGAGAUGUAACUGGCACCAGGAACCUCCCUCCAUCUUGUCCCUGUCCCACAGCUCUUCACCCGUGGGUGUCUUUUUGCCGACUGGUCUGAUUACUGGCGAGAAUCUGGUGAUUGGGGAUGAAAGAAGUUCGGGUCUCCUCUACACGUCUGUUUUCUUCCUGCUUCCUUUCUUGCCUUCUGCCUCCUCCUCCUCCUCCCAUGUCUUUCCAGCAAAGCACAGGAUACCCAGAUGGCUUGGGCCAGGCUGAAGGCACAGCCGUAGCCAGCAACCAGUCACCCGAGCCCUGCUGCCUUCGGCCCCUGCCGGCCCAGCCAGUGCGGGUCCCUGCUGCCUGGUGCCCACCCCGCCCGCCCGGCAGCUCCGAUUUUCAGCUUGGGUUUGAUCGGCUGCCAGGAUCUCCCAAAUGUCAGCUGCAACGUUAGCAUCUUUAAGAGAGCGCCCGAGGCGAUCUUUAAGCUGGGAGGCUGGGCCCCAUGCUGAUGAGAGGAGUCUGCUCCGAGCUGACAGCUCUGCCUCCUGCCUCCCCGGCCUUGGUUCUGGGAGCCUGUGGCCCCCAUUCUUCGGGCUGGACAGCAGCAAGACUCUUUUUUGAACCUGGGUGAAGCAGGGCUUUGCCAGCUGAGAUCAGUCCCUACAGCAGCCCCCACCAGGGAGCCCCAAGAAGGAGGGGAGGGGCCUAACCCAGAGAGGGAGUGGAUAUAUAUUUGUUAACUGAAUGGCUGCAUGAACCUCCAAAGCUGCCUUAGAGGCGAGUGCUGACGGCGCUUUCUGCCCUGCCAUCACCUUCAGGGGGAGAUACUCAGGGUGGGGACAUGGGCAAAGGUGCCCAACUCUGGCUAGGGGCCUGGGCCAGUGUCCCAGAUCUAGCAUGUGGGAGCUGUGUGACCUUGGAGAAGUUGCCAGCCCUCUCUGAGCCUCAGCUUUCCCAUCAGUGAAAAUGUGGGCUAGGGGAUAGAAUGCCAGAAUGCCAGCUGCGUAGAGUUGUUGGGGAAUCCAGGGAGAUGAAGAGAUAGGAACACCUGCUACCUUGCAGACACAUAGUAGGUACUCAAGGAAGUCAGUCCUUUCCUCUUCCCCCCUCCCUUCCCUCUUCCCUCUCCUCCCCCAGGGCUUUUUUUUUUUUUUUUUUUUUUUUUUUUUGAGACGGAGUCUCGCUGUGUCGCCCAGGCUGGAGUGCAGUGGCCGGAUCUCAGCUCACUGCAAGCUCCGCCUCCUGGGUUUACGCCAUUCUCCUGCCUCAGCCUCCCGAGUAGCUGGGACUACAGGCACCCGCCACCUCGCCUGGCUAGUUUUUUGUAUUUUUUUUAGUAGAGACGGGGUUUCACCGUGUUAGCCAGGAUGGUCUCGAUCUCCUGACCUCAUGAUCCGCCUGUCUCGGCCUCCCAAAGUGCUGGGAUUACAGGCUUGAGCCACCGCGCCCGGCCUCCCCCAGGGCUUUCUAUUCCCUGUCACUGAAGGGCUGAAGGGCUGUCACUGUCUGAAGCCUCCAUGUUUUCCCUUCCAACCCUCAGAAGGACAAGGGCGAUGAUUCUUACUCUGUGUUGUCCGGGACCACACAGCAGGUCGGAAGCAGAUGUGGAGGCUGCCCAGUUCCAGACCAGCUUGUUCUGCUAGUGCCUGGUCCCAGGACUGGCUCAAGUGCCCAUGGCAUGCUCCCCUGUGCCCUGCUAAUCGAUGUCCCUUUGCAGGGUGGUGAGGCUCUGGGAGUGAGCUAGUGGCUUGUUCUUUUUCCACAUUUUUGAGGCCUCUCUCGGGACUGAAAUACCCAGGUGGAGAAGUGAGUGACUCGGGAAAGGAAGGAAGGCAAAGAACCCAGAGUCUAAUUCUCACCCAAGUGGAGGUGAGGCGGGAAGUGGGGGCGCUUGAACCUCUUACGUGGGAGUUGCAGCCUUGGUGGGACCUGUCAGAACUGGUGUGCUAAGCCAGGGGUGGGAGUCGGUGACUUCCACAGGGACAGCAUCAGCAGCCA